ACCCAAAGGCCGAUAUACCAGCUUUAACCAGAGUCAGUCUCAGCCGUUCCAAAUCCAUUCCCUCGCAUUGCCGUAUCUUGCCAUAAAGAGUGUAGUAGGUUUGGAGGUGCUGGAGAGAGCAGGCCAAAUGUUGCACUUUUGCACUCGCUGGUUCUGAGACCACCUCUCCAGGUGCUAAAAGCCUGUCCUCUAGCUCAGCGGCUCCAUUUUAUACUGAGUGGUGCAAUCGCUCUGUGCAGCUAAAGCACAAAGGCAUUUUCAAACCUCCUCUUUGAAAGACUACUGUAAAAUGUCUAUUUCAGUGUAUGAUGCUAGGGUGAUAAUACGUGUAACUUAUCUAGACUCAUACCAUUAACACCUUGGACUGGUUCUGUUUUUUAUGGCCUAAUCACAAAUCUGAACAUCAUCGCAAAAUUAAGCGACUGCCUUUUUAAUAUUGCAAUGCAAUUUUACCUUAGUCACGUGCCAUAGAGCCAUUUUGAAUCUAGCAUCAGAUAUUAAAAUGUUACAUUUUCCCGAUUUAACCACUUUUUUAAAUUGAAUGCAUUUCAGAGGCAGGUUUCUGGCUAUUUUCUCACAUCUGUCUUUGGAAUUUGCAGUAAAACAUAAAACGUGCCUCCCUGAUUCUGUUCUCUAAUGCACUGCCAGUGCUAUCAGUGAACACCUGAACAGCUUCCUAUUUUUCUCAAAUUGAAAACACUGUUAGAAGCUUUUUUUUUUUUUGUAUUAGCUAUCAAAAACAUAUUAUUUCCUUGUCUCACUUAGUUAAUAUUUUAGAGUAAUCGGGUAAAGUGGCUGUUUUUGCUGGGCUUUUUUUUCUUCCAGCUUAAACUAUAAGCCGCUCUUGUCUCUUAACGUGUUUAGAUCGGUUUUAUCAUGUCUUUUGUUUUGUCUUUUCGAGGAACCCGAUCAUGCAGAGGUCCAUACUUGGAAGCCUCCCCCUCUUCCUCAGUCUAGUGUAAAAUAGUUGUAUCUAGAGCCACUGUCUCCAACUCAGGCAAUUCUCUUUAAAUUUUGUUUCAUUUUUGAGGUGUUUUCGUAUGUCUACUGCUAGACCACAGUGAUAUAUUAUAUUGUCUCUAGUGCCAUUUGAUGCAUUCUACUUCAAGGCCAAUUGUUAAGUCCACUUAUAUACUGUACAGGAAAAUAUCAAGGUAAAAAAUAAACUAAAGGGGGCAUAAAAGGUUAUUCAUAAAUAUUGCUCUGAGCUUGUUUUGAGCCAGCGCUAUGGCGUGGCCCAGCUUGUUUCCAAACCAGUGGCACUGUAAGAUCAGCUACAUGAAAAAAUAUGAUCUGUUUUAAAUUAUUGAUAUUUUCUCUUAAGACCAAUUUGUGUGUUUUGUUGUGCUCUCCUGAAUUCAGUUUUUUUUAUUCAAUGGAUUGACAAGCACUUAUUGUAGAUCACUAGUGCAGCUACUCAUGUGGCUUUUUUUAAAAUUAUACUUUUGCUGUUUUGCAAAAGCACAUUUUUUUUAAUGAAUUUUACCAAGCAGGAGGAAAACGGUGGAAAGGGUUCCGUCUUGGUCCUUUUGUUGUCCCUUUCAAUUUUCCGCCAUCCUUUUUUGUUUUUCAUCAAAAUCAAUGUAUCUGGUUAAUUAUAUUAGAUUGCUGAUGGUGUUGUAGCGAAAAGAGAUUUUUUGUAAAUUGUGAAUAAAUUGUAUCACGUUUCCUUUCAUCAAUUGUUUGUGUAUCAUGACAAAUGUAUGAUUGGUUUGUCUGUCUUUGCUCAGUUUUUCUUUUGUAAUUCUCAAACCAAAUUUAUUUUUGUGAUAAUGUUGGGACACUGAAUUAUAGAUUUAUAUGGUUGCUAACUUUUGAUUUAAGAGAACAUGAUUUGAACAGUAUUUUAAACAAUUGACAAACAUCCUAGAGAAAACAAAGUCACAGAUAAAGAUUUGUCAUUGUCACCAAAUGAUAUUCUCCAACUUUUACCUUUUAGCUUUAUAGAACCUUGUUAUCGGAUGUGGGUUCUGGUUAGGUAGGGGAUGUCGGGUAGUAGCCAAUGUUGAAGAGAUGGCUGGUGUAAAAGAGUCUUUGCUUGUAGAUGUGCAGCAUUUUGAGGGCCUACUGAUUUAGCCAACAUUUUAUGACCAUUUGACCCAUACAUUAUUCCCCUGCUGUUUGAUCUGUUGGCAGACCUUAGACUAGAGGGUGGGAAUGGAGGUGUUUGGCCGGCACUAGUCACGGCCUAGUUUAUUAACAUAAUUUAGGCCCAACUAAUCCCUGGCACUGUAGGUAUCUUGCCUUCACCUCUGUUACGUUUGAUAACUGGUGCAUCUAUGUCCACCACAGUCCUAGUUCAUAGGCAAAAUAUGACUUUGAUGUGACUGUCAGAUAAUUGGCACUCAGUCUUUAUGUAUAGUUUACCCAAACUUGGCAAUAAUAAUUAAAACAUUCUACUUUUUUGAAUUUCUUGUUUUGUAAUGCUUUGGCGGAAUUUACAAUUACCUGUCUUUUCCAUUUGAAUCUGUCUCCUUUUCAUGGACCUUUCUCAAUCUGUUUACUGUUUUCUCUUAAGUAGAAGUAGUAAUGCAAUGGUUAGGUUUGUGGCCAGCUGAAAGUUAAGUGUAUAGAGGUAAUGUGUCACUAUGUAAUGCACUGGACCAACUCUUGUUUACCAGUUAUGGAAUACCAGCAACACACUUGCACAAUGUUCUAAAGAGUUAUGUAUUUGAAAAAAAAUAUAGAUAUAUAAAACAUGGCAGCUGUUUUUAAUGUAAUAUUAGGACAUGUACAGCAACCUAAUGGUAAACCAUGGUCUUCAUUAUUUCACUGUUAUCCUCUAGUCUUGGUUCUCUUGAGUAGUUGUGUUUAUACCAGGGUCAGCUUGUUUCCUUUACAC
rnacentral:lncRNA from 1 species